rnacentral:tRNA from 1 species
AGUAAGUUGGCAGAAUAGUGCCAUCGACUUAGGAUCGAUACAUGGGUAAAACCCACUUAUUA